rnacentral:pre_miRNA from 1 species
CCCGUACUCCCUCCGUCCAAAAAUACUUGUCAUCAAAAUGGAUAAAAAAAGAUGUAUCUAGAACUAAUAUACAUCUAGAUACAUCCCUUUUUAUUCAUUUUGAUGACAAGUAUUUUCAGACGAAGGGAGUACGUA